rnacentral:rRNA from 2 species
AAAUUGAAGAGUUUGAUCAUGGCUCAGAUUGAACGCUGGCGGCAGGCCUAACACAUGCAAGUCGAACGGUAACAGGAAACAGCUUGCUGUUUCGCUGACGAGUGGCGGACGGGUGAGU